GCGUGACAUUAGCUUGUUGGUGAGGUAACGGCUCACCAAGGCUGCGAUGUCUAGGGGUUCUGAGAGGAUGAUCCCCCACACUGGUACUGAGACACGGACCAGACUCCUACGGGAGGCAGCAGUGAGGAAUAUUGGUCAAUGGGCGCAAGCCUGAACCAGCCAUCCCGCGUGAAGGAAGACGGCCCUAUGGGUUGUAAACUUCUUUUGUACAUGAAGAAAGGGACCUACGGGUAGGUUCGUGACGGUAAUGUACGAAUAAGCAUCGGCUAACUCCGUGCCAGCAGCCGCGGUAAUACGGAGGAUGCGAGCGUUAUCCGGAUUCAUUGGGUUUAAAGGGUACGUAGGUGGCCCGGUAAGUCAGUGGUGAAAACCUGCCGCUUAACGGUAGGCGUGCCAUUGAUACUGUCGGGCUUGAGUGCAGUUGAGGCAGGCGGAAUGUGUAGUGUAGCGGUGAAAUGCAUAGAUAUUACACAGAACUCCGAUUGCGAAGGCAGCUUGCUAAAGUGCAACUGACGCUGAUGUACGAAAGCGUGGGUAGCGAACAGGAUUAGAUACCCUGGUAGUCCACGCCGUAAACGAUGCUCACUGGCUGUAUGCGAUACACAGUAUGCGGCCAAGCGAAAGCGCUAA
rnacentral:rRNA from 1 species